GCUUAGUUGGUAAAGCACAAGACUCUUAACCUUGUGGACGUGGAUUCAAGCCCCAU
rnacentral:tRNA from 1 species